AUAAUUUACAGACGCCAGUGCAAAACAAAAAAUACAGGGCUCCUUGCUAAAAAUUCAUUAAGAAUUAUUUUUUCAGGAUGGCAAUAAAAGAGCACUAAACCAAGCAUGGGGCCCAGUGCAGCUGCACAGAGGAUGCAUGCCCAUCAAGACAACUCUUGACACCAAGCUAAACAGUGUCUCACGGUUCAAACCCAGCUGUCCCCUCCAAGGAAAAGGUCAGAAGUGCAGGCCCUCCCAUUUUUCCCAAAAGAAAGGGGAAUAUACCCUUUGAGGAAUCUUCUCUCAUUGUCUUCUGGAGGGGGGUGAAUCCGCUGCCCCCCCCAACACACACACACACACACACACACACACACACACACACACACACACGCCCCAGCUCCCAGAGCUACUUUGCAAUCCCCUGCCCACCAUAGAGAGAGCACGGCCCUGUCCCUCAUGCCUCUCCUCUCUUUUACCCUCUGCAGAGCUGAGCAAGGAGCACCACCAGCUGGCCAUGUCCCUGGAGAAAGAGUUGCUUCCCCAACAGGCAGAGCUGGUGGUGACCAUCCUGGACCCAAUUCUUCCCAGGCAGGGGGAGGCAGUCUUCACCUCAGGCUGUGCAAAGGCUUUUACAGUGAGGAGCUGAAGGUAAACCCCCCCUGGUCAGACUCUACAGCCU
rnacentral:lncRNA from 1 species